AGCAGCCGCGGUAAUUCCAGCUCCAAUAGCGUAUAUUAAAGUUGUUGCAGUUAAAAAGCUCGUAGUUGAAUUUCGGGAUUAGUACGUUGGUCGUGCCUUCGGUACGUACUGGUGUUACUGAUUCCUACCUUCUGACGAACCAUCAUGUCAUUAAUUUGGUGUGGCGGGGAAUCAGGACUGUUACUUUGAGAAAAUUAGAGUGUUUAAAGCAGGCUCGCGCUUGAAUACAUUAGCAUGGAAUAAUGAAAUAGGACGUUGACCCUAUUUUGUUGGUUUCUAGGAUUGACGUAAUGAUUAAUAGGGAUAGUUGGGGGCAUUAGUAUUCAAUUGUCAGAGGUGAAAUUCUUGGAUUUAUUGAAGACUAACUACUGCGAAAGCAUUUGCCAAGGAUGUUUUCAUUAAUCAAGAACGAAAGUUAGGGGAUCGAAGACGAUCAGAUACCGUCGUAGUCUUAACCAUAAACUAUGCCGACUAGGGAUCGGAUGAUGUUAUUUUUAAUGACUCAUUCGGCGCCUUACGG
rnacentral:rRNA from 1 species